rnacentral:rRNA from 1 species
UACGGAGGGUGCGAGCGUUGUCCGGAAUCACUGGGCGUAAAGGGCGCGUAGGCGGCGCGGGUAGUCAUCGGUGAAAGUUCAGGGCUCAACUCUGAAUCGGCCGGUGAUACUCCCGUGCUCGAGCACUGUAGAGGCAGGUGGAAUUCCGGGUGUAGUGGUGGAAUGCGUAGAGAUCCGGAAGAACACCGGUGGCGAAGGCGGCCUGCUGGGCAGUAGCUGACGCUGAUGCGCGACAGCGUGGGGAGCAAACAGG